rnacentral:rRNA from 1 species
UGAACGCUGGCGGCGUGCCUAAUACAUGCAAGUCGAGCGAACGGACGAGAAGCUUGCUUCUCUGAUGUUAGCGGCGGGCGGGUGAGUAACACGUGGAUAACCUACCUAUAAGACUGGGAUAACUUCGGGAAACCGGAGCUAAUACCGGAUAAUAUUUUGAACCGCAUGGUUCAAAAGUGAAAGACGGUCUUGCUGUCACUUAUAGAUGGAUCCGCGCUGCAUUAGCUAGUUGGUAAGGUAACGGCUUACCAAGGCAACGAUGCAUAGCCGACCUGAGAGGGUGAUCGGCCACACUGGAACUGAGACACGGUCCAGACUCCUACGGGAGGCAGCAGUAGGGAAUCUUCCGCAAUGGGCGAAAGCCUGACGGAGCAACGCCGCGUGAGUGAUGAAGGUCUUCGGAUCGUAAAACUCUGUUAUUAGGGAAGAACAUAUGUGUAAGUAACUGUGCACAUCUUGACGGUACCUAAUCAGAAAGCCACGGCUAACUACGUG